GUGUUGAAGGCUCAUCUGAUGCAGUGCCUAUAGGCAGCACCAAAUCACCAGAGGGGUUGGAGUCUGAAGCUAAAAUUGUUGAUGGUUUUCAGGUUUGUGGGACAUUGCCAGGAAAUGUUUCUGAAAACUUGGAUCAGCUUCCAGUUACCUUGGCCAUAGGGGGCGAUAAUGUGGAAGGCUUAUCUGAGGCAGGGCCUAUAGACAACUCCAAUUCACUAGAAGAGUCAAAAUCUGAAGCUAAAAUUGUUGAUGCUUCUCUGGUUUGUGGGACAUUGCCUGGAAAUGUGUCUGAAAACUUGGAUCAGCUUCCAGUUACUUUGGCCAUAGGGGGGAAUAGUGUUGAAGGCGUAUCUGACGCACGGCCUAUAGACAGCUCCAAAUCACUAGAAGAGUCAGAAUCUGAAGCUAAAAUUGUUGAUGCUUUUGAGGUUUGUGGGACAUUGCCAGUGGAUGUGUCUGAAAACUUGGAUCAGCUUCCAGUUACCUUUGCCAUAAGGGGUGAUAGUGUUGAAGGCUUAUCUGAGGCAGGGCCUAUGGACAGCUCCAAAUCACUAGAAGAGUCAGAAUGUGAAGCUAAAGUUGGUGAUGCAUCUCAGGUUGCUGGGACAAUGCAAGAAAAUGUGUCUGAAAACAUGGAUCAGUCUGAAGCUCCCUUGACCAUGGGGGGUGAUAGUGUUGAAGCAUUACCUGAGGCUGGGCCUGCGGUUAGCUCCAAAUCACCAGGGGAGUCAAAAUGUGAAGCUAAAGUUG
rnacentral:lncRNA from 1 species